rnacentral:lncRNA from 1 species
CCUAAAGUCACUUCCCCGCGUUUAUGGAGCAGGGUGAGGAGGGGAGUUGGAACAAGCACCCAUAAAUACAGAGAAACCUCCAUGUAACAGAAGUAACAUUGAGAGGGAAGUCAAUAGCAGGUCCUGUAACAAACAGCUCUUAUCAAGGGUGUCUUCCAAAUCUGAUUUGAAUCGUCCCUGGGAACGAGAGUGCCUUUUGCUGCUGAAGUCCAGGUUGUCCCAGGAAGCAGGAUGCCACCACCUUCUCUGCCUGUUUGAUUUCGG